AAAUCCGUUUGAAGAAUCUCAAGAAAUCCUACUUUUGAUUAUUAGUACUUGUUUCAGGAGCACUUUCACUGAAAUUAUUGCGUGUAAAAUAACGAGAAGGCGUCCAUGGCAAGAAAUCGCCUAGGAGAAAGCUUCCUCGCUCAGUCACUAAUCCCUCUGUCUUCUACGUUUCACCCGAUCUUAAAAAUCAUCAACCGGCUCAUAUUUAUAUACUUUCGCACGUCCAAUAUUUUUAAUCCAAUUACUUGUCUUUCAGGGUAGACUGCACCGCAAUCAUCAUUUUGAUCAUUCGUAUAUCUGCAUAUAAAAUAACUAUUUAUAACUGACUUCUUCUUCCUCCCUUCGAUUCCUACGCUUCUGGGGUGUUUGUUUUCGGUAUUCAAACACCCAGAGAGUCUUCUUCCUCUGCACCCAGGUAACAUAAACAAUUCCAUUUUGCCUCCAGAAUCUCUUACUUUUAUUAUCAUUUUCCCUUCAUCUUUCCUCCUUUUCUCUUGCCUUUCCGGAAUGGCUAUCAAUGGGAUUGUGCUUUGCGAUUUUUUUUUUUCCUGGGCAGCAAUAUUUCUGAUCUUGCUUCUUUUUUGUUCCUCUACAAGUGCAGUUGCUCAUUCCGUCAACCAUUUAAUAUUUCCUGGUGGCGGAUCAGAAACUUGGUGGGUGCAAUUGCUUAUUCCGUCGUACUUUCUAAAUCAAGACUGCACAACUCAUUUAAGAUCAUUUGGGCUGUAAAUAGCUCAGCGUGGUUGCGCCGGCCCUUAUCGGAAAGCCUUCAACUA
rnacentral:lncRNA from 1 species